rnacentral:sRNA from 1 species
GUCUCGCCAUGCUGCUCCUGGGCCUGCUGCUGCUGCCCCUGCUGGCUGGCGCCCGCCUGCUGUGGAACUGGUGGAAGCUCCGGAGCCUCCACCUCCCGCCUCUUGCCCCGGGCUUCUUGCACUUGCUGCAGCCCGACCUCCCAAUCUAUCUGCUUGGCCUGACUCAGAAAUUCGGGCCCAUCUACAGGCUCCACCUUGGGCUGCAAGAUGUGGUGGUGCUGAACUCCAAGAGGACCAUUGAGGAAGCCAUGGUCAAAAAGUGGGCAGACUUUGCUGGCAGACCUGAGCCACUUACCUCCCCCAACUCCUCCUGCAGACAAGCUGGUGUCUAAGAACUACCCGGACCUGUCCUUGGGAGACUACUCCCUGCUCUGGAAAGCCCACAAGAAGCUCACCCGCUCAGCCCUGCUGCUGGGCAUCCGUGACUCCAUGGAGCCAGUGGUGGAGCAGCUGACCCAGGAGUUCUGUGAGCGCAUGAGAGCCCAGCCCGGCACCCCUGUGGCCAUUGAGGAGGAAUUCUCUCUCCUCACCUGCAGCAUCAUCUGUUACCUCACCUUCGGAGACAAGAUCAAGGACGAC